rnacentral:rRNA from 1 species
AGCGAACGCUGGCGGCAGGCUUAACACAUGCAAGUCGAGCGGGCAUCCUUGUGGUGUCAGCGGCAGACGGGUGAGUAACGCGUGGGAACGUGCCCUUCGGUUCGGAAUAACUCAGGGAAACUUGAGCUAAUACCGGAUACGUGCGAGAGCAGAAAGGUUUAUCUGCCGAAGGAUCGGCCCGCGUCUGAUUAGCUAGUUGGUGAGGUUACGGCUCACCAAGGCGACGAUCAGUAGCUGGUCUGAGAGGAUGAUCAGCCACACUGGGACUGAGACACGGCCCAGACUCCUACGGGAGGCAGCUGUGGGGAAUAUUGGACAAUGGGGGCAACCCUGAUCCAGCCAUGCCGCGUGAGUGAUGACGGCCUUAGGGUUGUAAAGCUCUUUUCUCCGGGACGAUAAUGACGGUACCGGAGGAAUAAGCCCCGGCUAACUUCGUG